CUUACAGAUUCCACUGUAUUGCCGGGCGAGUACUACUACACGGAUUAUCGCACCUGUCUGGUCAUGGGUAUCGAAUUUCAAGGAUAUCAAUGCAUGUUGCAUGCAACUCCAGAGUUCAAAUACAGCGUGCCAGAAAAAUGCAUCCAUUACUUCGAGAAAACCUGCGGCGCAAGUGUGAGCCUUCACAGCAGAGACCACUGCAAGGACCACAAAGGCGACGGGAAAUGAAGAAGCACUGCCAAGGGCAUUGGGAGCCCGGCACUCAGUAAACUUCCGGGGUUUAUCAACAAUCUAUGCCUACAAAUAAAUACUAGAUUUAGCAUUUA